rnacentral:rRNA from 1 species
UUCCGGUUGAUCCCGCCGGACCUGACUGCUAUCGGAUUGAUACUAAGCCAUGCGAGUCAUUGUAGCAAUACAAGGCAGACGGCUCAGUAACGCGUAGUCAACCUAACCUAUGGACGGGAAUAACCUCGGGAAACUGAGAAUAAUGCCCGAUAGAACACUAUACCUGGAAUGGUUUGUGUUCCAAAUGAUUUAUCGCCGUAGGAUGGGACUGCGGUCUAUCAGUUUGUUGGUGAGGUAAUGGCCCACCAAGACUAUUACAGGUACGGGCUCUGAGAGGAGUAGCCCGGAGAUGGGUACUGAGACACGGACCCAGGCCCUAUGGGGCGCAGCAGGCGAGAAAACUUUGCAAUGUGCGAAAGCACGACAAGGUUAAUCCGAGUGAUUUGUGCUAAACGAAUCUUUUGUUAGUCCUAGAACCACUAACGAAUAAGGGGUGGGCAAGUUCUGGUGUCAGCCGCCGCGGUAAAACCAGCACCUCAAGUGGUCAGGAUGAUUAUUGGGCCUAAAGCAUCCGUAGCCGGCUCUGUAAGUUUUCGGUUAAAUCUGUACGCUUAACGUACAGGCUGCCGGGAAUACUGCAGAGCUAGGGAGUGGGAGAGGGAGACGGUACUCGGUAGGAAGGGGUAAAAUCCUUUGAUCUAUUGAUGAC